GAUGAACGCUGGCGGCGUGCCUAAUACAUGCAAGUCGAGCGAGAAGCUUGGAAAUGACGCUUCGGUUGAUUUUCCAAGCGGACAGCGGCGGACGGGUGAGUAACGCGUAGGCAACCUGCCCCUGACAGAGGGAUAGCCAUUGGAAACGAUGAUUAAAACCUCAUGACACCGUAGUAGCACAUGCUACAUCGGUCAAAGAUUUAUCGGUCAGGGAUGGGCCUGCGUCUGAUUAACUGGUUGGUGAGGUAACGGCUCACCAAGGUGACGAUCAGUAGCCGACCUGAGAGGGUGAUCGGCCACAUUGGAACUGAGACACGGUCCAAACUUCUACGGAAGGCAGCAGUAGGGAAUCUUGCACAAUGGGCGAAAGCCUGAUGCAGCAACGCCGCGUGAAAG
rnacentral:rRNA from 1 species